AUGAACGCUGGCGGCGUGCCUAAUCCCUGCAAGUCGCGCGAACGGACGAGAAGCUUGCUUCUCUGAUGUUAGCGGCGGACGGGCGAGUAACACGUGGAUAACCUACCUAUAAGACUGGGAUAACUUCGGGAAACCGGAGCUAAUACCGGAUAAUAUUUUGAACCGCAUGGUUCAAAAGUGAAAGACGGUCUUGCUGUCACUUAUAGAUGGAUCCGCGCUGCAUUAGCUAGUUGGUAAGGUAACGGCUUACCAAGGCAACGAUGCAUAGCCGACCUGAGAGGGUGAUCGGCCACACUGGAACUGAGACACGGUCCAGACUCCUACGGGAGGCAGCAGUAGGGAAUCUUCCGCAAUGGGCGAAAGCCUGACGGAGCAACGCCGCGUGAGUGAUAAAGGUCUUCGGAUCGUAAAACUCUGUUAUUAGGGAAGAACAUAUGUGUAAGUAACUGUGCACAUCUUGACGGUACCUAAUCAGAAAGCCACGGCUAACUACGUG
rnacentral:rRNA from 1 species